rnacentral:rRNA from 1 species
GACGAACGCUGGCGGCGUGCUUAACACAUGCAAGUCGAGCGGAAAGGCCCUUUCGGGGGUACUCGAGCGGCGAACGGGUGGGUAACACGUGAGUAAUCUGCCCUUCACUUUGGGAUAACCCCCGGAAACGGGAGCUAAUACCAGAUAUGACCGGCAACCGCAUGGUUUGUUGGUGGAAACUUUUUUGGGUGGGGGAUGUGCUCGCGGCCUAUCAGCUUGUUGGUGGGGUAAUGGCCUACCAAGGCUUUGACGGGUAGCCGGCCUGAGAGGGUGACCGGCCACACUGGGACUGAGACACGGCCCAGACUCCUACGGGAGGCAGCAGUGGGGAAUAUUGGACAAUGGGCGGAAGCCUGAUCCAGCAACGCCGCGUGAGGGAUGACGGCCUUCGGGUUGUAAACCUCUUUCAGCACCGACGAAGCGUGAGUGACGGUAGGUGCAGAAGAAGGACCGGCCAACUACGUGCCAGCCGCCGCGGUAAGAC